rnacentral:lncRNA from 1 species
GUCUUGUCAUUGUGCAGCUGAAUGCAUUCUGCCUGGUCGCCACUGAUAUUACAAUUAUGAACAUGACAGAUUUCUCUCUUUCCUUCAUUCUCCUUCUCAUAUCAGUCAACGGUUUAUUAAGGAUGGACUAUGGAAAAAGACUGGUGCUCCCAUGGGUACAGACAGACAGACAGACUGACAGACAGGCUGCUGAAGGAGGUGCCUGCUGUCUUCCUCUGGCUUUUAACAAAGGACUGACAUGUUGUUUUUCACUGCUCACUCUGACGGAUGCACUCGUGUUUGUGGGUGUGAUUGCAUGUGUGGACUUCUGUGUUUCCUGCACUCUGAUAUUAAACCACACACACACACACACACUCACAAACACACACAGUAUGUGUACCAUAUAUAGGGUUCCUCUCCUCCGGUUGGAAUCACAGGGGGACAUUCAGAGGAGGCCAGAUUAAACCACAACAAUUCCAUUUUUCCAGCCACACACACACACACACACACACAUCAGCCACAGUCAUUCUGAGCCAGACACACUCUGCUAUGGUCUCUGGUUUUAGUCCAUCUGACGUCUCUUUUCUAGUUUUCUCUCUUUCUCUCUCUCGUUCCCCCCCCCCCUCUCUUUUUACUACUUAUUUUAUCCAGCCCAAGCUUAGUGGCAAGGCACUGGAUUGCGUGUGUGUGUGUGUGACACAGGAUUGCCAGAUCACUUCUCUGUACCGUUACAGGAUUGGCUUUCUGCUGGCCAUGUUUCAAUCAUGACCCGUCUGUCCCAAGCCUCUCGCCCCCCCCCCCCCCCCGUCCCGAAUGGCAGCCGUUGACUUCGUAGUGCCCUACUUUUCACCAGGCUCCGUGCCGCUAAGGUUAAAGGUAGUGUGCCGGUCUGGGAAUAUGGUGUCAUUUAGAACUCAACUCUAAACUCACAGCGGUACUCUGGGAAGAGGAGGAGUGAUUCAGCCUGUAUCAUUAUCCUCCAUGGGAGUCCUCUCUCUGAUCCGUGGCAAAGGUCCAGUCGCUCCCCAUCUAUAUCCACUCCCCACAGGCCAAAGCGGAAACUGUGUCUGACUCUCCAAAAUGGCUGCAGACAUAAUUCAUAACGGCCUCCCUCCCUCUCAAACCAACUCCCCAUUGGGGAAGCCAGUGUUUGUAGUGAAUAAACUGUCUUUGAUUGUUAGAUCAUUAAACAGCUAGACACUUGAGCUAAGCUGUUGUUGAAUCUUUUGUCGUCUGCUGUCAUCUCUCACUUUUAUCCUGUUUUGCUACCCCCCACCAAGCCUCCACCCUCUCAACUGUGUUUCCCCGAGUUCGUACCGGGGCAGAUAUUCUGGCACCAGUCCCAUCUCUUGGUUUAUCUGUGUUCAAGAAUUAUCUUCUUUCUGUCAUCUCUGGGGCAGAUGACAACCUAACAAACCUGUCUGUGUGUGUGUGUGUGUGUGUGUGUGUGUGUGUGUGUGUGUUUGUGUGUGUGUGUGAGAGAAAUGGUAAUCUACUGUACAACAGUGUAAUGAAUAUUGGACAGAAGCUUUGUCCUCACUGAUGUCUUAAACAAGGGAAAGAUCAAACCAGAAAGCAUCCUUAUAUUACAUAGAGAAUUACAACAGAUGUCUGGGAAAAUUGUUUUCCUUCUUUUUUUUUUUACAUGACCUCAGAAAUAAUGAAAAAGAGAUCAUAUUAUAACAGAUUUUUGUAAUGCACAGAAUAGGAC